rnacentral:rRNA from 1 species
GUGAGGAAUUUUCCGCAAUGGGCGAAAGCCUGACGGAGCAAUGCCGCGUGAAGGAUGAAGGCCUAUGGGUUGUAAACUUCUUUUCUCAGAAAAGAAUUAUGACGGUAUCUGAGGAAUAAGCAUCGGCUAACUCUGUGCCAGCAGCCGCGGUAAGACAGAGGAUGCAAGCGUUAUCCGGAAUGAUUGGGCGUAAAGCGUCUGUAGGUUGUUUAAAAAGUAUUCUGUCAAAGAUUAGGGCUUAACCCUAGAUAGGCAGAAUAAACUUUUAAGCUAGAGUUUGGUAGAGGCAGAGGGAAUUCCCGGUGGAGCGGUGAAAUGCGUAGAUAUCGGGAGGAACACCAAAGGCGAAGGCACUCUGCUGGGCCAAUACUAACACUGAGAGACGAAAGCGAGGGGAGCAAAUGGGAUUAGAUACUCCGGUAGUCC